CGGCACGGGUGAGUAACACGUAUCCAACCUGCCGUCUACUCUUGGACAGCCUUCUGAAAGGAAGAUUAAUACAAGAUGGCAUCAUGAGUCCGCAUGUUCACAUGAUUAAAGGUAUUCCGGUAGACGAUGGGGAUGCGUUCCAUUAGAUAGUAGGCGGGGUAACGGCCCACCAAGACUACGAUGGAUAGGGGUUCUGAGAGGAAGGUCCCCCACAUUGGAACUGAGACACGGUCCAA
rnacentral:rRNA from 1 species